rnacentral:rRNA from 1 species
AUUGAACGCUGGCGGCAGGCCUAACACAUGCAAGUCGAGCGGAUGAAGGGAGCUUGCUCCUGGAUUCAGCGGCGGACGGGUGAGUAAUGCCUAGGAAUCUGCCUGGUAGUGGGGGAUAACGUCCGGAAACGGGCGCUAAUACCGCAUACGUCCUGAGGGAGAAAGUGGGGGUUCUUCGGACCCCACGCUAUCAGAUGAGCCUAGGUCGGAUUAGCUAGUUGGUGGGGUAAAGGCCUACCAAGGCGACGAUCCGUAACUGGUCUGAGAGGAUGAUCAGUCACACUGGAACUGAGACACGGUCCAGACUCCUACGGGAGGCAGCAGUGGGGAAUAUUGGACAAUGGGCGAAAGCCUGAUCCAGCCAUGCCGCGUGUGUGAAGAAGGUCUUCGGAUUGUAAAGCACUUUAAGUUGGGAGGAAGGGCAGUAAGUUAAUACCUUGCUGUUUUGACGUUACCAACAGAAUAAGCACCGGCUAACUUCGUG